UUGGUUUAAAUCAUUCUGGGCCUACACUUUGAAAAUUGAGUUCACACAAAGUGGUGAGAUACACAUUGAUUUCAUCCAA
rnacentral:pre_miRNA from 1 species